GAGUUUGUAUCCUGGCUCAGAUUGAACGCUGGCGGCAGGCCUAACACAUGCAAGUCGAGCGGUAGAGAGAAGCUUGCUUCUCUUGAGAGCGGCGGACGGGUGAGUAAUGCCUAGGGAAUCUGCCUGGGUAGUGGGGGAUAACGGCUCGGAAACGGACGCUAAUACCGCAUACGUCCUACGGGAGAAAGCAGGGGACCUUCGGGCCUUGCGCUAUCAGAUGAGCCUAGGUCGGAUUAGCUAGUUGGUGAGGUAAU
rnacentral:rRNA from 1 species